UUAGGAUUUUGUUAGAAUUUGGUUAGGAUUUGACUAGAAUUUAGUUAAAGUUUGUUUAGGAUUUGAUAGGAUUUGAUUAGGAUUUGUUUAGGAUUUAUUUAAGAUUUGAUUAGGAUUUAUUUAAGAUUUAUUUCGGAUUUGUCUAGGAUUUAUUUAGGAUUUAUUUAGGAUUUGACUAGGAUUUGAUUAGAAUUUGAUUAGGUUUUGAUUAUGGUUUAUUUAGGUUUUGUUUAGGAUUUGAUUAGGUUUUAUUUAGGAUUUGAUUAGGAUUUGAUUAGAAUUUUUUUAGGAUUUUAUUAGGAUUUGAUUAGGAUUUAUUAGAGUUUGACUAAGAUUUAUUUAGGAUUUGAUUGGAGUUUGACUAGGCUUUAAUUAAGGUUUUUAUUUUAAUACUUUAUUAAGAUUUUUAUUUUAGUAUAGUUUUGAAUUUCUAUGUUAUUUCUUUAUGAUUUCUUUAAAGGAUCUUU
rnacentral:lncRNA from 1 species